rnacentral:rRNA from 1 species
GAUGAACGCUGGCGGCGUGCCUAAUACAUGCAAGUCGAGCGAACGGACGAGAAGCUUGCUUCUCUGAUGUUAGCGGCGGACGGGUGAGUAACACGUGGAUAACCUACCUAUAAGACUGGGAUAACUUCGGGAAACCGGAGCUAAUACCGGAUGAUAUUUUGAACCGCAUGGUUCAAAAGUGAAAGACGGUCUUGCUGUCACUUAUAGAUGGAUCCGCGCUGCAUUAGCUAGUUGGUAAGGUAACGGGUUACCAAGGCAACGAUGCAUAGCCGAACUGAGAGGGUGAUCGGCCACACUGGAACUGAGACACGGUCCAGACUCCUACGGGAGGCAGCAGUAGGGAAUCUUCCGCAAUGGGCGAAAGCCUGACGGAGCAACGCCGCGUGAGUGAUGAAGGUCUUCGGAUCGUAAAACUCUGUUAUUAGGGAAGAACAUAUGUGUAAGUAACUGUGCACAUCUUGACGGUACCUAAUCAGAAAGCCACGGCUAACUACGUG